rnacentral:pre_miRNA from 1 species
AAUUUUAGCUGAAAAAAUCAUGAACAUAAAAGUUGUAGAGCUCAUCAAGACAUACAAUUUUUAUUUUGGUCAUUUCUUCAUCCGAUCAAAUGAUAACAUUGUUCAUAAAGUUUACAUAUCUCUCGUAUAGUUUAUAGAACCAGUUGAGACAGAUGUAAAUUUUGUAAACAAUGUUACUAUCACUUUGUCGGAUGAAGAAAUGACCAAAAUAAAAGUUAUAGAUCUUGAUGAGUUAUACAACUUUGUUGUUGAUGACUUUUUCAAUUGAAAUC